rnacentral:rRNA from 1 species
UGAACGCUGGCGGCGUGCCUAAUACAUGCAAGUCGAACGCACAGCGAAAGGUGCUUGCACCUUUCAAGUGAGUGGCGAACGGGUGAGUAACACGUGGACAACCUGCCUCAAGGCUGGGGAUAACAUUUGGAAACAGAUGCUAAUACCGAAUAAAACUUAGUGUCGCAUGACACAAAGUUAAAAGGCGCUUCGGCGUCACCUAGAGAUGGAUCCGCGGUGCAUUAGUUAGUUGGUGGGGUAAAGGCCUACCAAGACAAUGAUGCAUAGCCGAGUUGAGAGACUGAUCGGCCACAUUGGGA